rnacentral:rRNA from 1 species
UACGUAGGGGGCAAGCGUUGUCCGGAAUCAUUGGGGCGUAAAGAGCGUGUAGGCGGCUCGGUAAGUCCGCUGUGAAAGUCCAGGGGCUCAACCCUGGAAUGCCGGUGGAAACUGUCGAGCUAGAGUCCGGAAGAGGCGAGUGGAAUUCCUGGUGUAGCGGUGAAAUGCGCAGAUAUCAGGAGGAACACCAAUGGCGAAGGCAGCUCGCUGGGACGGUACUGACACUGAGACGCGAAAGCGUGGGGAGCAAACAGGG